CGGCUGUAGCCAAAUCAAGUGGCUCAUAGAUGUUAACUGGCUGGUCAUUGUGAGAUCUCUUUCUUCAAUCUCCGUCAACAAUCUGCUUAACGAACUUAUCACGUUC